CUUUUAAGCAAACCGUGUCUUAAUAUCAUUCUAUUCUAUGAACGGUUGCUAACAUAUUUUAAAAAGUAGCGAAUAGCGAUUCGCUGUUUGAAAAGUAGUCAACUACUUAGCUACUUUUAGGCAAAAUGUAGUUCGCUAUAACUACAACUACUGUUUUAAAAAAGUAGUCAAAAACUACUGGCUACUUGAAAAUUGUAGUUCGCUACAGUAGCGAACUACAACUACUUCGCUACUACCCACCCUUGAUAAAAGUA